AAAAUUUUAAUAAAGUCUAUUCUAAUUUUUAUAUAUCGUAAGUAAUAUCAAAAGUUUAUUGUGAAUAUCUCUUGUGAAGACUAAGAAGAAAGAAAGAAAUAAAAAAGGAUUAAUUUAUCAUUCGUUUAUUAAUUUACUUCAAAAAAAUAUCCAUACUACGUGAAAUAACAUUCUGAGAAAUGGAUGGACGAUAGAAUGAAAUUAUUUAAUGUUCUUCAGUACUUAGUUAUAGUAACAAUUAGUCAUCCUAUUAUCAUUUACAAAGUAUAUUGAGCAACAAGAAUGUAUAGUACUUACAUUUCGAUAAACAGUUAAAUCAACAAUGAAAAUCGCAUUUAUCGCGACUAAUCGAUAUUUAUGAAUUAUUUAAAUUUUUAGAAAAAUCACUGUACUAAUUAGAACACUGUAUAACGCGUAUUAUAAACUUAUUGAUCGACAAA